rnacentral:rRNA from 1 species
GACGAACGCUGGCGGCGUGCUUAACACAUGCAAGUCGAACGGAAAGGCCCUGCUUUUGUGGGGUGCUCGAGUGGCGAACGGGUGAGUAACAAGUGAGUAACCUGCCCUUGACUUUGGGAUAACUUCAGGAAACUGGGGCUAAUACCGGAUAGGAGCUCCUGCUGCAUGGUGGGGGUUGGAAAGUUUCGGCGGUUGGGGAUGGACUCGCGGCUUAUCAGCUUGUUGGUGGGGGAGUGGCUUACCAAGGCUUUGACGGGUAGCCGGCCUGAGAGGGUGACCGGCGACAUUGGGACUGAGGUACGGACCAGACGCGUACGGGAGGCAGCAGUGGGGAAUAUGGCCCAAUAGGCGGAAGCCUGAUACAGCAACGCCGCGUGCGGGAUGACGGCCUUCGGGUUGUAAACCGCUUUCGCCUGUGACGAAGCGUGAGUGACGGUAAUGGGUAAAGAAGCACCGGCUAACUACGUG